AUAAAUCCUUGGAUAAGCACGGAAUACGUAAUAAUCCUUUCAAAUUUAUUCAUACAAAAAUCAUAACUUCAUUUAAUUAUAAAUAAUAAUGUUAAUGGAAAGAUAUAUUUUUGUAUUAUUUUAACAUAAAUUAUAAAAAGAUAUACAUAUACAUAUAUAAUGCAAAAUCUUAUCAUUAUUCAAUAUCGUUACUCGCAGAAAGAUAGUAAUUAGAUAGGUUAUCAUAUAUAUAUAUAUAUAUAUAUAUAUGUACGUACGUACGUAUGUAUGUAUGCCUUUAAAAUAUAAGCUAAAUAUAAUGUGAUUUAGAGGUCUUGAUAUAUUUACAAUCACUGCAUAAACAAUAUAUUUGAUAAGUCGUAAUUGUAAAAAAAGAAAGAUUUAGUAAUAGUACAGAACUCAUUACAUGUAAUGAGUAAUGUUAAUGAAGGAUUUAUUGCUGUCCAUGUGGGAGCAGGACGACAUUCAGAAGCUCUUAAAGAAAAAUAUCGGAAACUAUGCCGUCAAGCAUGCAAAGCUGGCAUACAAAAUUUAAAGGCUGGUGGUAGUUCAUUAGAUGCUGUAGUAGAAACUGUAAUAGUAUUAGAAAACUCUCCCUUAACCAAUGCUGGAUUUGGGUCGAAUCUCACAUUGGAAGGAGCAGUAGAAUGUGAUGCAAGUGUAAUGGAUGGUACUACAUUACAAUUUGGAGCAGUUGGUGCGGUUAGUGGAAUAAAAAAUCCUGUUUCAUUGGCAAAACGACUUUGCGAAUAUCAGUCAAUUAAGAUUGCAUAUGGUAGGAUUCCACCAAGUUUUUUAGUUGGGAAUGGCGCACAUGUAUGGGCACAAGAAAUGGGAAUACAAACAUUACCACCAGAACAGCUAAUUUCAACAAAAGCACAGAAGAUGUAUAAACAUUAUAAAAGAAAAAUAGAAAGUUCUAAUAUAGAUGUUCACAAGUAUACUAAACAAAGAAUGGAUACAGUUGGUGCAAUAUGCGUUGAUAAAGAAGGAAAUAUUGCUGGAGCUUGUUCUAGUGGUGGUAUUAUUUUAAAAUAUCCAGGAAGAGUAGGGCAGGCAGGAAUGUGGGGAUGUGGAACAUGGGCAUAUAAAGACAAAUAUUCUAUAGGGACAAGCACAUCAGGCUGUGGCGAACAUCUCAUUCGCACUUUGCUAGCGCGAACAACUGCAGAAGCUAUAUCACAUAAUUCUUGUCCUAUUAUCAACUUAUACCAUUCUAUGAAAGCUGAUUUUAUUGGUGAAAACUCAUUCGAAAUUUUUAUGUGGACUUGAACAGAAACUUGGAGGUGUUAUUGCUAUUCGAUAUGCAGCCCAAGAGGGAGUAGGAGAUUUCCUUUGGAGUCAUUCUACAAAUUCAAUGAUAAUAGGUUACAUGAAUUCAAAUGAACAAACACCAAUGAGUCAUAUGGCUGUUCUUCCAUCUCAUGAAGUUGGCAAGAAAGCAACCGUCGAAGGAAUCUGUUUCAAAAUUACAUAACAUGUUAAUGAAUUUAUGAUUCGUGUUAAAUUAUGUUAUUAUAUAAGAAAUAAUAUACAAUAAUGUCAAUA